GUUGUCAAAGAAAAUUCAGUGUUCGCUUGAAAAUUCUCAGUGGCUAGUAAGGCGGAACUAAAUUUGUGCUAAAAUGGAAGAAAUAUAAUUGCAUACUUACAUUGAAGAAGUGUGGAAUUUCUACUACCUACUUGGUGUUACCUUUAAGAAUAUCUUGGGGAGGUACAGAGGAUCUGUCUAGCAUCCUACUGGCAGCCUAUUUCACCAACAAGACCCUCAAGGAAUUGGGCAAGCUGCGGGGGACCAAGCUAAUAAGGGAGGGCAUAACCCUGUGAUCUUGAAAAUCGCCAUCCUCUGGAAACGAUGAAGACAAAGUGGACUAGUUUAAAUCCCCUUGGAAGGCGAACAAUUGGAUACACCCGAAAUUUUCGUCCUAAUCAAAAAGGUCAAGUGCAGUGCGGAUUUGGCCACAGAUCCGCAGGAUAAACCAUCUGGCCGACAUGAUUUUGACAGUUGGUUCACUCUGGUCUUCGCAAAUUAGCAGAAAGGGAUCUCGAUGUCCACUACCAAUGCCUACCACGAGACCAAAGGGAUAUACCUGCGUCAAGGAACUCCUAUUCUAGUAGAGCGGCUUAAUUACCUGGCAGCCACCCAGGUGUGGGCGAACAAACCGUAGGAUGCACUCCGCACCUCAACCAGUCCCUUUUUCCAACUGGGAAACCAUGUGGCUGGCGAAACAACCCGUUUAGGAGAUAGAUUGCAUCGGCCAACAUCUCGAAGGCUGCCGGUGAUCGAGGGAACUAUGACAUAGGGAACUAUGUCAGGAUCUGAAGUCCCUGACCCAGGCGACGACCUCGAUGAGGGGAUCGGGUGUAUCCCGUGGAUGCACUCGAUGUGCUGAUCGGGGACCAGUAAGCCAAAGGAUCAAACGGCUGGCACGGCUUGGUGGUGUGUAUACGUGUUUCUCUUAAAAUUGCCUACUGAGCACAAAAGCAUCAGCGGUCUCUGAAGGUGGAGGAUUGAACUAUAUAUGAAAAUGCACUAUCUCCAAAUUGAUGUGGUUAUUAAAAAAUGUGAUGGUAUUAAAAUAAAAAGUCUAC